rnacentral:rRNA from 1 species
UACGAGGGGAGCAAGCGUUGUUCGGAUUUACUGGGCGUAAAGGGCGCGUAGGCGGCGUGACAAGUCACUUGUGAAAUCUCCGGGCUUAACCCGGAACGGUCAAGUGAUACUGUCGUGCUAGAGUACAGAAGGGGCAACUGGAAUUCUCGGUGUAGCGGUGAAAUGCGUAGAUAUCGAGAGGAACACCUGCGGCGAAGGCGGGUUGCUGGGCUGAUACUGACGCUGAGGCGCGAAAGCCAGGGGAGCGAACGGG